rnacentral:rRNA from 1 species
UCCUACGGGAGGCAGCAGUGAGGAAUUUUGCGCAAUGGGGGCAACCCUGACGCAGCAACGCCGCGUGAGUGAUGAAGGCCUUCGGGUCGUAAAGCUCUGUCAAGUGGGAAGAACCUAUUAUACGUAAAUAGCGUAUGAUACUGACGGUACCACUGAAGGAAGCACCGGCUAACUCCGUGCCAGCAGCCGCGGUAAUACGGAGGGUGCAAGCGUUAUUCGGAUUUACUGGGCGUAAAGGGCGCGUAGGCGGUUGAUCAAGUCAGAUGUGAAAUCCCGGGGCUCAACCCCGGAAGUGCAUCUGAAACUGGUCGGCUUGAGUAUGGUAGAGGGAAGUGGAAUUCCUGGUGUAGCGGUGAAAUGCGUAGAUAUCAGGAGGAACACCGGUGGCGAAGGCGACUUCCUGGACCAAAACUGACGCUGAGGCGCGAAGGUGUGGGGAGCAAACAGGAUUAGAUACCCUGGU